CCUCCUCUCUAGCUUGACAGCUGUAACUUUUCUCCAAGUUUCAUUUUUCAUUUUCGUCACAAAAUCAAAAUUUCUUGUUUAGGCUUAAAAAAGUUUUCAAAUUUAGUUUGAAAUCAAUUGUCGGGGCGUGCCUGAGACGCGUUGCGGCACUCCCCGGCGACAGUGAGGAAAAACCAUUGAAUAAGGUACAUAUUUCAGCGGAAACAAAGCGAAAAGACGUUAACACACGCCCGAAGCAAGGACAGAUACAGGAGCGGGAGAGGCCAUGUCCUCGAUGGUUUCAAGGCGACGAGAGCUGCAACAAAGAUGUUGCAACAAUCAACACAACCCUCGGGCAUCACCCAGGACACGCUGUAGAUCUUCGCUCGAUCGGUCAUAGAAGGCAACGGGUUGCGUAGCAUAAUGUUAACAUUCUGCAAAUUCUUGCUGCUCAUGAUGGCUGAAACGCUGCGGUUGCUGGCUGCGUAUGUCGAAAGUAAUGGACCGCUGCAUCCAUGCUAUAAAGAUGUGCAUGCCACCGCCCACCACGUACUCUUUGAGGUCGAUGAAGCGGCUGGAAAUCGCAGCCCGAGGGCCCACCACAACAUUAUACACUGCCAAGGGACAUCUGGCAAAAUGCGAUACACAAAUUUUGCAGCCAUAGCACACACACAAAAAACCCAGUAACCAUGUAACAUUUGUCUAAAGCAAAAUACAAAAUGACGAAAACCAAU